rnacentral:rRNA from 1 species
UGGGGAAUAUUGCACAAUGGGCGCAAGCCUGAUGCAGCCAUGCCGCGUGUGUGAAGAAGGCCUUCGGGUUGUAAAGCACUUUCAGCGGGGAGGAAGGCGUUAAGGUUAAUAACCUUGGCGAUUGACGUUACCCGCAGAAGAAGCACCGGCUAACUCCGUGCCAGCAGCCGCGGUAAUACGGAGGGUGCAAGCGUUAAUCGGAAUUACUGGGCGUAAAGCGCACGCAGGCGGUUUCUUAAGUCUGAUGUGAAAGCCCCCGGCUCAACCGGGGAGGGUCAUUGGAAGCUGGGAGACUUGAGUGCAGAAGAGGGGAGUGGAAUUCCAUGUGUAGCGGUGAAAUGCGUAGAUAUAUGGAGGAACACCAGUGGCGAAGGCGGCUCUCUGGUCUGUAACUGACGCUGAGGCUCGAAAGCGUGGGGAGCAAACAGG